rnacentral:rRNA from 1 species
UACGGAGGGGGCUAGCGUUAUUCGGAAUUACUGGGCGUAAAGCGCACGUAGGCGGCUUUGUAAGUCAGAGGUGAAAGCCUGGAGCUCAACUCCAGAACUGCCUUUGAGACUGCAUCGCUUGAAUCCAGGAGAGGUGAGUGGAAUUCCGAGUGUAGAGGUGAAACUCGUAGAUAUUCGGAAGAACACCAGUGGCGAAGGCGGCUCACUGGACUGGUAUUGACGCUGAGGUGCGAAAGCGUGGGGAGCAAACAGG